GAUAACAGCGUAAUUUUUUUUUAGAGUUCUUAUCGACAAAAAAGAUUGCGACCUCGAUGUUGGAUUAAGAAUUAUUUUUAGGUGUAGAAGUUUAAAGUUUAGGUCUCUUCGACCUUUUAAUCCUUACAUGAUCUGAGUUCUACCCGGCGUAAGCCAGGUU
rnacentral:ncRNA from 1 species